GCGGACGUGUCGCGUCCGUUGCUUUAUUGCUCCAUAGCGAGGCUAUAUAUAAAAAUGCAUAUCCCACCGCGAUCUUCCUAUUUUUUCCAAAAACCUUUUACAACUUUAAAAACGGGGUCGAAAGGAGGAGGUAAAUUCAAUUUGCGGAAACCUACAAAACGCACACAACGUGACUUCGACUUUUGGCUAAUCUUUUACCUACCUAAUCCCUUGUGAACAAGAAUAACCUUCGAAUUAUGAAAGCAGCAACAAGAAAUGAACUAUAUAUAUAUGUUCAAGAAGGACGAUAAAGGCAAAGUACAACCCAAUCAGAAUUAAAAGCUGAGAAAUGUGACAUGCCCUCAAAUCUACGCCGUUCCAUAAAUAGUUGUAAUCACCCCAGACCAGAGGAAAUCCAAAAGCAAACAAACAUAUAUUACACUGCAUUAUUAAUAUGUAACAAAUGUCAUAAACCAAAGAUAAAAUCAUAUUUAUAAAAACGUAGGUACCGUACUUACGCGAGGCUAUAAAAUGGAGAACUGAACCCAUAGAUAGUGGCCAGUAGCCACCGCAAUAUAAAACCAGGUCACUGUAAAUAUGACGUCGGAUGCAAAAAAAAAAACACAAAAAAGAGAAUAUAAACUCCACAAAGUGAUACAAAAUUUAAUUAUUUUUCUGCGACGAGCAAAGUGAAAGUCAGGCGAAAAUUAAAAACCGAGUUUAGCAUAUGCAACAUAAUGGCCAAAACCGGCAACGGCAGCAGUACUUGACUUUUUUGUUGUGCUUAAUUUGUCUGGGAACCGCAAAUGUUUUGGCCUUGUGACUUGGCACCAAAACAACCAGCUUAAAUCUAGGGGAAGCCCCUGCCCACUUACCUUCUCCGUCCUCUUUGAAGCCAGCCAAAAGUGUGUGCAGUUAGUGUUUAAAAUAUUUCCCAUUUCCGUCAGCAACUGCAGCUCCAUUUGAUCAAAGUCCCGUACAUUUUCCUUGACUUUGGCUCCUAUUAGUUUCUCUUGUGUGUUUUCCUUUUCAUACCCUAUGUUUGAAAAAUAUCAGGCAUAUUGAACUUAUGUAAAUAUAAACAAGAGGUUAUUCAUUAAAGCGAAACAUGAAAGCGAA